GGGGAGGGCUGCCAAACAGAGAACAGCCUCAGAGGCAGACAAACUAAAGUGAGGCACACAGCAGAUGAACUACUCUGCAACCAAAAACCACAAACAAGAAGAGAGCAAGAAAGCAAAGGACCAAAAAGAAGAGACAGAUUACGAGGAGUCUGAGAGAGGUCAGAGGAGCACUCCACAUGCAGAGUUUCAUCAGUACCUGAGGAAUAACCUCUCAUAACCUUAAUCUCAACCUGACUGCCUGUCUGGGUCUGCUCAUGUCCUCCUCUGGGUGACGUACUGCACGUUUCAACAACAAACUAGCACGCUGACAACGCUCAGCAGGUUAACUCCUCCAGGGAAGACAUGUCAUGUUCAUCACUGCCUCCUCGUCAUCAACUGGUCUGCUUACUUCUGUUUUGUAGUUUUUGCCAGUCAGUCUGGGCUGGGCUGAGCGUGUGAAAACAACAGAGACUCUCACGGGAUGGAUGCCAGAGAGGAGACGCUGAACAUCCUGAACAGGAUAUGGGUCAAGCUGCAGGGUCUGCCCAGUGCCAACCCUGUAGAGCUGGGAGCAUUCUUUGUCAUCUUAACCUUCAUCUUGGUGGUCGUUCUCUUCAUGGUGCUGACCUGCGUGAACUACUGCUGCUGCUGCUGCUGCUGCUGUCGCAAGACCGCAAAAAAGGGAUCGACCAUUUGAGCAAAUGUGUACCACCUGAUGAGACCUAACAAGCGAUGGUGAUAAAAACAUCCUUGAGACACAACAACAGCUCAUUCAGCUCUCUCAAAUGAACCCUAUAAGUGAAUGAAAACUCCUUCUGGGACUCAUGGCCAUAUACUUCAUAAACAUUCAAGACAUUUCAGUGACUGCUGAAGCCUCAUGCAGGGUGUGUUCAGCGGAGUUCGAGGGGCCCAACCCUUGAAAAACAAAACAACCUGACAAACACAGAGAAGGACGUCCUGACCGGCUGCCAAACACACCUGCUGAAGCUGCCAGGUUUUCAGGAGAAUCCACAUUCUUCAGAGCAUCCCUGUGCUUUUCAGGGCAACAACACCCAACAACCACACCUCUGCCCUGAGGAAAAGGAAUGGCUGAUCCAAAUAAUACCGGCAUGGAAUAUGAGCUAUAAAAAUGUGUAGGAUAAUUAAAAACUGCAGUGAGCUGCGCUGUGAUAUAUGAAGGGGAGAGCCAAAUUAUUUUGUUAUGCUUUUCUACACCUUACUAUGUGUCAUUCUUGAGGAAUGAGUGUUGGCAGUCAGACAUGGAGUUAGAUAAGAUCCUCCUGAGGGGGAAGCUUUCUGACCUCAAAGAGUUUCUUGACAUACUGCACAACAAAACAUAGAUCAAGUCUGCCCUCUGCUGUACACAUACUGAAUGGACUAUGACUGUAUUUUUAAAAGCACAGCGUGCAUGUAAUAACUUUUGUUUCAUGUAUAAAACUGCAUAUAUAUGUACAAAGGGUGGGGAUAUAUAAUUCUUUGACUGUACACUUUUAUACACAAUAAACAAAAUGCAUGUGUGA